CAUUUAUAAUUCAGUGACUGAUAUGUUUGUGAUCUGCAAUUAUACAGUAGGUUUUAUUCACUUUGGGGGAAGUGUGGCACAAGACAUUUUUAGUGUUGUUACUGUUGCAAAUCCUAAAUUUUGUCAGUUUGCUCUUCUGGUGAUUAGCUUACCAGCAGUUCAUUUUCUCUGUUUCCUCAAGGUAGAGAUGUAUCAGGGUCUUAAACGACCACCCUUUUGCUUCGAAAAAAUGCCAUAUUACUGCCGAAUACCAUUAAACGUAAAAUUUAUUUUAACCUGCACUGUUCUGGCAGGAGUACAAUAUACAAAUUUGUUAGGUCUUGUAUCAUAACUCAUAUUGCUUCAUCUUAUGGUCGACACGACAAUGAUUUCCUGCACUUGACUACAACUAAUAAGAACACAUAUUUUGUC
rnacentral:misc_RNA from 1 species